CUCUCUCCUCAAAAGCGAAAGUAGAGAGACAGAACAAAGACUUGAGUCUCUCGGAACUGACGUAGCUUUCCCCCCCUCCCACCAGUAGGCAGGGCGUACAGUCUGAGCUGUUUAACCCUGUAAGCUCAGGUUCUCCUCACACCUAUGUUCAUCGGAGAAAUGUUGGAUGGUAUGGAGUUAUACAAUCCCCAAGCCAUCCGAAGGCAACCUGUAUAGGGAGGUUUUUUAAUGUUUACUGUUUUAUUACCUUUUUAUAUGUUUUGGAAGCCGCCCAGAGUGGCUAGAGCAACCCAGGCAGAUGGAUGUGGUAUAAAUACAGUGGUACCUCGGGCUACAUAUGCUGCAGGUUACAUAUGCUUCAGGUUACACACUCCGCUAACCCAGAAAUAGUGCUUCAGGUUAAGAACUUUGCUUCAGGAUGAGAACAGAAAUCGUGAUCUGGCAGCGCGGCGGCAGCAGGAGGCUGAAGUGGUGCUUCAGGUUAAGAACGGACCUCCGGAACGAAUUAAGUACUUAACCUGAGGUACCACUGUAGUAAAAUUGUUGUUACAGAACAGGGCACCCCUAUUUUCAUCGGAGAAAUGUUGGAGGGUAUGCUUUUGUCCUCACCUCAGUUUUGACUACUGGCUCCUCACACAGCUCCUGACCCACGACAGUGUGUUGCCCAUCGCUCAGUUCUGACUAAAGGAUUUUAUUGCUGGCGAGGACAUUUUGGGAGCCAAAAUAUCCAACGCCACUAAAUUCUGGUGUACUUCUUUAACAUAAUAGUGUAAACGGGGAUCAACAUAUACACACUGAGAAGCCAUUCCCACCCCCCUCACUACUUUAUAUGGAAACAACUGGAAAAACCUCUGUGAUUGAGGCUACCAAGAUGGCGCCUGUUUGUACAACGAACACUUCUGAGGUAAUUCUUUGGCCCUGCAAAAGCCUCUCAGUUUGCCCACUCGCUGCUGCUUAUUCAUGUUACUGGUUUCUCUGUUGAAAAAAAUACAGAGAGCCGAAGGAGGAAGUUGAAAGACUUCUUUCCAGUGCUAUUUUUCCAGAAAAAGAGGUGCUGGGACUCAGAAUGAAGACCUCUUAUAAUGGCAAUGGUGCCCACCUAAGAGGCGACAGAACUGAGUUCCAGCAAGUUCCAGCUGAAAAAAGCCCUGGUUCUUUCCCACUUUCUGUGUCAUCUCAAUGUGCUUUGGAAGGCGCUGAUUAAUUCUUUCGGAUCCAACUUUUAAACGUACUUUCUGUCUGUCUCUUGGGGCGAAGUUACCAAAAGUGUUGGAGCUCACAGCACUUCUUGAAAAAUCCAAGAUUGCCCACUGAGGUCUAGAAAGUUUGGGGAGCCUUCUUCUGGGCUCUUCAAAAAAACAAGCAGGUCCACUUUACUACCAUUUUACUACAGCUUUACUACCACUUUACUACUCUUUUACUACAAUCUUACUACCAUUUCACUACAGCUUUACUACCACUUUACUACUCUUUUACUACAAGCUUACUACCAUUUUACUACAGCUUUACUACCACUUUACUACUCUUUUACUACAAGCUUACUACCAUUUUACUACAGCUUUACUACCACCCUACUACCAUUUUACUACCGCUUUACUACCAUCUUACUAACAUUUUACUACCGCUUUACUACAAUCUUACUGCUACUUUACUACAGCGUUACUACUGCCUUGCUACCAUUUUACUACCACUCUACUACUGCUUUACUACGGCUUUACCACUACUUUUGCUACUACUUUUACUACUGCUUUACUGCUAUUUUACUACUGUUCCACUACUUUACUAUUGUGCCGUUUUACUACCACUUUACUACUAUUUUACUACUAUCUUACUGCUGUUUUACUACUACCUUGCUACCAUUUUACUACCAUUUUACUACUGCCUUACUACUUUACUACUGUUUUACUACUGCUUUAUUGCUAUUUUACUACUAUUCCACCACUUUACUAUUGUUUUACCAUUACUUAACUGCUACUUCACUACUGGUUUACUAUUGCUUUACUACCACUUUAUUUUCACUUUACUACUGCUACUUUAUUACUUAUACUACUUUACUAUUUAUACCCCUAUUUAUACAGUAGACCUUCCUGAACAAUGGCAUGCCUGCCUAUAGUAUUGUUACUAUUUUAUUAAUUGUAUAUACUGCCCUUCAUCCGUAGAUUUAAGGUUGGUUUACAACAUAAAAAUGCAUGAUUUUGAACUGCUAGGUUGGCAGGAGCAGAGACCAAGCAACGGGUGCUCACCCUGUCACGGGGAUUUGAACCAAAAUACACAAUAAAAACAAGAACAAGAACAAACCAAUAAGCCUCCUCCCUCACCCUCUCCUUUGGCUUGUCCUUCACUCAUGACUUCUCGCUUGUUCCUUGAUCUUAACUUCCCCACUUUUGCAAACCUUCCAGUUGUCCCUAAUUUUCCCGGGACAGUCCCAGAUUUAUUGAAGCUGUCCUGGUUUCUGAUGUUAUCCUGCUUUUCCUUAGGACGUCCCUAUGUUCAUCGGAGAAAUGUUGGAUGGUAUGGAGUUAUACAACCCCCAAGCCAUCCGAAGGCAACCUGUAUAGGGAGGUUUUUAAUGUUUACUGUUUUAUUACCUUUUUAUAUGUUUUGGAAGCCGCCCAGAGUGGCUAGAGCAACCCAGGCAGAUGGAUGUGGUAUAAAUACAGUGGUACCUCGGGCUACAUAUGCUGCAGGUUACAUAUGCUUCAGGUUACACACUCCGCUAACCCAGAAAUAGUGCUUCAGGUUAAGAACUUUGCUUCAGGAUGAGAACAGAAAUCGUGAUCUGGCAGCGCGGCGGCAGCAGGAGGCUGAAGUGGUGCUUCAGGUUAAGAACGGACCUCCGGAACGAAUUAAGUACUUAACCUGAGGUACCACUGUAGUAAAAUUGUUGUUACAGAACAGGGCACCCCUAUUUUCAUCGGAGAAAUGUUGGAGGGUAUGCUUUUGUCCUCACCUCAGUUUUGACUACUGGCUCCUCACACAGCUCCUGACCCACGACAGUGUGUUGCCCAUCGCUCAGUUCUGACUAAAGGAUUUUAUUGCUGGCGAGGACAUUUUGGGAGCCAAAAUAUCCAACGCCACUAAAUUCUGGUGUACUUCUUUAACAUAAUAGUGUAAACGGGGAUCAACAUAUACACACUGAGAAGCCAUUCCCACCCCCCUCACUACUUUAUAUGGAAACAACUGGAAAAACCUCUGUGAUUGAGGCUACCAAGAUGGCGCCUGUUUGUACAACGAACACUUCUGAGGUAAUUCUUUGGCCCUGCAAAAGCCUCUCAGUUUGCCCACUCGCUGCUGCUUAUUCAUGUUACUGGUUUCUCUGUUGAAAAAAAUACAGAGAGCCGAAGGAGGAAGUUGAAAGACUUCUUUCCAGUGCUAUUUUUCCAGAAAAAGAGGUGCUGGGACUCAGAAUGAAGACCUCUUAUAAUGGCAAUGGUGCCCACCUAAGAGGCGACAGAACUGAGUUCCAGCAAGUUCCAGCUGAAAAAAGCCCUGGUUCUUUCCCACUUUCUGUGUCAGCUCAAUGUGCUUUGGAAGGCGCUGAUUAAUUCUUUCGGAUCCAACUUUUAAACGUACUUUCUGUCUGUCUCUUGGGGCGAGAAGUUACCAAAAGUGUUGGAGCUCACAGCACUUCUUGAAAAAUCCAAGAUUGCCCACUGAGGUCUAGAAAGUUUGGGGAGCCUUCUUCUGGGCUCUUCAAAAAAACAAGCAGGUCCACUUUACUACCAUUUUACUACAGCUUUACUACCACUUUACUACUCUUUUACUACAAUCUUACUACCACUUUACUACAGCUUUACUACCACUUUACUACUCUUUUACUACAAGCUUACUACCAUUUUACUACAGCUUUACUACCACCCUACUACCAUUUUACUACCGCUUUACUACCAUCUUACUAACAUUUUACUACCGCUUUACUACAAUCUUACUGCUACUUUACUACAGCGUUACUACUGCCUUGCUACCAUUUUACUACCACUCUACUACUGCUUUACUACGGCUUUACCACUACUUUUGCUACUACUUUUACUACUGCUUUACUGCUAUUUUACUACUGUUCCACUACUUUACUAUUGUGCCGUUUUACUACCACUUUACUACUAUUUUACUACUAUCUUACUGCUGUUUUACUACUACCUUGCUACCAUUUUACUACCAUUUUACUACUGCCUUACUACUUUACUACUGUUUUACUACUGCUUUAUUGCUAUUUUACUACUAUUCCACCACUUUACUAUUGUUUUACCAUUACUUAACUGCUACUUCACUACUGGUUUACUAUUGCUUUACUACCACUUUAUUUUCACUUUACUACUGCUACUUUAUUACUUAUACUACUUUACUAUUUAUACCCCUAUUUAUACAGUAGACCUUCCUGAACAAUGGCAUGCCUGCCUAUAGUAUUGUUACUAUUUUAUUAAUUGUAUAUACUGCCCUUCAUCCGUAGAUUUAAGGUUGGUUUACAACAUAAAAAUGCAUGAUUUUGAACUGCUAGGUUGGCAGGAGCAGAGACCAAGCAACGGGUGCUCACCCUGUCACGGGGAUUUGAACCAAAAUACACAAUAAAAACAAGAACAAGAACAAACCAAUAAGCCUCCUCCCUCACCCUCUCCUUUGGCUUGUCCUUCACUCAUGACUUCUCGCUUGUUCCUUGAUCUUAACUUCCCCACUUUUGCAAACCUUCCAGUUGUCCCUAAUUUUCCCGGGACAGUCCCAGAUUUAUUGAAGCUGUCCUGGUUUCUGAUGUUAUCCUGCUUUUCCUUAGGACGUCCCUCUGGGAUAUCUUGAUUUAUUGCUCAGAUAAGCGUCCGGCACGCUUCCCCCAUCACGGGCCUCUGCAUUCCAAUGAUCCGACAUCUGAGCAUAGCAGAGUUCGUCAGCGGCUAGAGGAAACCAAAACACUCCAGUGCAUUCUUCAGUGUGCUUAAAUAAACUCCACACAGGAUCUUAGCAGCUAAAAGCAGCUUUAUUUACAGCAGGCUAUCCAUUAUCUAUCACAGCGAACAGCAUCGCGAAAACACGUCCUCUCUCCUCAAAAGCGAAAGUAGAGAGACAGAACAAAGACUUGAGUCUCUCGGAACUGACGUAGCUUUUCCCCCCUCCCACCAGUAGGCAGGGCGUACAGUCUGAGCUGUUUAACCCUGUAAGCUCAGGUUCUCCUCACACCCCCUCUCGCCCUGCGCUACUGUGGGGACGGUAAGUACAGAACUUACCCCCAACUCCAAACCACCACAAAACUCCCCAUGGCGCUGGAAGCUUAAAGGUUUGGUAAAUCCAUCGGCCAGGUUACUGUGACUGGUACAGUACUUCAGUCGUAUCAAACCUGAUUGAACACUCUGACACACAUUUUGGAAACGUAUGUCCAGAUGCUUGGUUCUCGCCUUAAAUUGCGCAGAUUCAGCCAACUUCAAACAAGGCUGAUUGUCUUCCCA